rnacentral:rRNA from 1 species
UGGGGAAUAUUGCGCAAUGGGGGAAACCCUGACGCAGCAACGCCGCGUGCGGGAUGAAGGCCUUCGGGUUGUAAACCGCUUUCAGCAGGGAAGACAUCGACGGUACCUGCAGAAGAAGCCCCGGCUAACUACGUGCCAGCAGCCGCGGUAAUACGUAGGGGGCGAGCGUUAUCCGGAUUCAUUGGGCGUAAAGCGCGCGCAGGCGGUUGCUCAAGCGGAACCUCUAAUCUCGGGGCUUAACCUCGAGCCGGGUUCCGAACUGGACGACUCGAGUGCGGUAGAGGCAGAUGGAAUUCCCGGUGUAGCGGUGGAAUGCGCAGAUAUCGGGAAGAACACCGAUGGCGAAGGCAGCCUGCUGGGCCGGCACUGACGCUGAGGCGCGAAAGCUAGGGGAGCGAACAGG